rnacentral:lncRNA from 1 species
UGGAAUCAAAUGCCUGUUGAUCCGAGACAACUUGUUCACCCAUGGCAAUAACAGCAUGGACCUCCGUACCAAAGGCCAAAGUCGAGGUAGCCAGGCAGUGACUGUAGUUCAGAUGGAGUCUGUGUAUCUUGUGGUGAUGGGAAAGAAGGGGACAGAAGGAGGACCUCUCAACCUCAAAGCUUUUGAGAUAGCAGGCUACAUGAGAGAGGCCAUUCUUCAAAAAAUGGCUCAUUGCUAAGUAAAUAAAAGACCUGAUAUGGGACCUACAA